GCUUGCUGGGUGGAUUAGUGGCGAACGGGUGAGUAACACGUGAGUAACCUGCCCCCGACUCUGGGAUAAGCCCGGGAAACUGGGUCUAAUACCGGAUAUGACCUCGCACCGCAUGGUGCGGGGUGGAAAGAUUUAUCGGUGGGGGAUGGACUCGCGGCCUAUCAGCUUGUUGGUGAGGUAAUGGCUCACCAAGGCGACGACGGGUAGCCGGCCUGAGAGGGUGACCGGCCACACUGGGACUGAGACACGGCCCAGACUCCUACGGGAGGCAGCAGUGGGGAAUAUUGCACAAUGGGCGCAAGCCUGAUGCAGCGACGCCGCGUGAGGGAUGACGGCCUUCGGGUUGUAAACCUCUUUCAGUAGGGAAGAAGCGAAAGUGACGGUACCUGCAGAAGAAGCGCCGGCUAACUACGUGCCAGCAGCCGCGGUAAUACGUAGGGCGCAAGCGUUAUCCGGAUUUAUUGGGCGUAAAGAGCUCGUAGGCGGUUUGUCGCGUCUGCCGUGAAAGUCCGAGGCUCAACCUCGGAUCUGCGGUGGGUACGGGCAGACUAGAGUGAUGUAGGGGAGACUGGAAUUCCUGGGUGUAGCGGGUGAAAUGCCGCAGAUAAUCAGGGAGGAACGACCGAUGGGCGAAGGCAGGGUCUCUCUGGGCAUUUUACUUGACCGCUGAAGGAGCGAAAGCAUGGGGGAGCCGAACCAGGGAUUUAGAAUACCCCUGGGUAGGUCCAUGCCCGUAAAACGUUGGGCAAC
rnacentral:rRNA from 1 species